CAAGUCCUGGAAGCUGUUCUUGGGCCCAAGGCCCCUCCCCUUGCCCUCCUGUGUCCUCACCUUGACCCCCCCACCCCCGUCAGAUUCUGUCUCCCUCUGGGUGCUCCAUCCCCCACCCAGAGGCGAGUAGGUGGAGUGGCAGGCAGCAGGGGCUGGGUGAGGGCCGCCCAAGGCCAGGGUAGGCUGGGGGGCCGUUAAGAUGUGGAGCUCUGCCCGUCCGAGGGGGGCUCCGUGGAGGCAGACGAAGUGUGUGCCCCGCUGGGGCGAGUAUGGGCAGGCUUGCGGCCACGUGGUGAAGGAUGAACAUUCGGGGUGCCCCGGACCUCGGGCAGCCCAGUGACGACCCCAACAGUGGUGGAGAAAGAGAGCGGAUUCGACAGCGCAUGAAGAUGGUCAUCGGGCAACUUGAAGGCAUCCUGAGGGAACUCAAAGAAGUGGCUAAGGAGCUGAGGGAGGUGAGUGAGAGGCCAACAGGGGCCACACAGACCCUCACCCUUC
rnacentral:lncRNA from 1 species